AAAAUAACCAUGUAAAAGUGGACGAAAAUUAACCGGUGACAAAAUUGAACCGGUGAGAUUCGGCUACCAACUACCUCUUUAUUAGUAGAGAUCCUUUUCCCCAAUGAACCAACCAGCACCAUGGACGCGUCCAGCUCUUGCAGGAGCCAGAUCCAACACCCGCAGUCUCCCUCCUGGUGAUCCAACCAGCGCCCGAUUGCUCCUCCCGCAGCGCGGACGCGCCCACCCAAGUGGAUGCCUAGCUGCUCCAGUAGCCAUGGUCAUGGCGCCCGAGCGUCCGUGCCUUCCCACGCCGUGCACUCUUGAGAGGAACUCCCUUGCUCCGGCUGGCCACCAACAACCUCGAGGGCAGUCCCUCAUGCCUCCUUCCCCUCUCCUUUCUCAUCCUCUUACUUCCUAUCUCUCCCUUUCUAUGAGCUCCCUAUCCCUCGUGCUUUCUUCUCGCAAGAGCCACUAGGGCUGACCGAAGCUUUGACCGCUCCUUCGCGAGGCUGCCGCCGCAUCUCCAGCCCUCGUCGCCGACCUGCAAGACGAGAAGAAGAAACAAGGACGUUGUCGCUUCAUGGAGCUUCCUAUGCUCAGAGCUUCAUACCCCUCACCCACGCUGGAUCCGCCUCCUCACGACCGGAUCCAGCGCCUCCAUGGCCCUGCCGGACCUCGACCCCCUCUGCCAGCGCCAUCCCCGUCCAGUUUCCUUGCGCCGCAGGUGUGUAGCCCCCAGAUCCGCCAUUGUUGUGUCGUUGCCUGCGUCUGUUCAUGGAGAAGAAGACUCAUUGAAACGUUAGUACUUAUUGCACUUAGCUGCUAGCACAUCAAAUGAGAAAGCAUAGCCGAGCUGGCUAGCACCGCUCGGUUACAUCCUAGAGAUCUCGGUUUUUGCCCUGUUUUUGUUGAUCUCGACUCGGCUGAAGUGCUACUUCAUCCACGAAGAAUCUUGUACAAUAUCAUAAAUAGAGAAACUAGCUUAGUUGGCUAGCGCAACAGGUCUUCAACUACGAGGUCCACGGACCAAAUCCCCGCGGCCUAUCUUUUAUUUUUACCUAGUGUAUUUUUUUGCACACACGCACUCUCAGCAGUUUUGGGCGAGACAUACUGCUAGGCUUGCGCAGUGCACAACAUUGAGCCUAUAUGUACUUUUUGGUUCGCUGCGAUUAAUCAAAUUGUUCACGAACUUCUAUAUGUACAAAAUGCCAUUAUUGUGCAUUGCUCAUAAAUCAUUAACCGUGCAUUGGAUCAAAUGAUUUAUAUAUGUUAAAUAAGUAGACU
rnacentral:lncRNA from 1 species